GAAGCCAUGGAUUGAGAGACUUUCAGGAGAAUGUCAGCCAGGCGGCAGGAACGUAACGGAGUUUACGUCACAGGGAAGGCUUCAGGAUGAAGCAGGACACUCCGGAGUGAGUAAAGGACACCAUCCAGGAUGGAGAAUGAGAUCCACGCGGGAUGUGGCGGGCCAGGAUGCUAAGGACCAAUGUCACGAUGACAGGCGACGGAAAGCGCAGGAACAGUUGUCAUGGAUGAGCAGGGAGCGCAGCGGUGGCGGGAAUGCUGCAAACGAACCGGGAGCACUGUAAUCACAGUGCUCCCUUUUUUUAUG
rfam:Plautia stali symbiont DNA, complete genome.